GUGAGCCGUGUAAUAGGCGACCAUUUCGCGCGGUUCGGGGGGCACUUGAAUAAGCCGCCGGCACCCGGCUGCGUCUUUACCCCUAU
rfam:Hordeum vulgare subsp. vulgare, WGS project CAJW01000000 data, contig: morex_contig_693600